AGUGAACGCUGGCGGUAGGCCUAACACAUGCAAGUCGAACGGCAGCACAGUAAGAGCUUGCUCUUACGGGUGGCGAGUGGCGGACGGGUGAGGAAUACAUCGGAAUCUACUUUUUCGUGGGGGAUAACGUAGGGAAACUUACGCUAAUACCGCAUACGACCUACGGGUGAAAGCAGGGGAUCUUCGGACCUUGCGCGAUUGAAUGAGCCGAUGUCGUAUUAGCUAGUUGGCGGGGUAAAGGCCCACCAAGGCGACGAUCCGUAGCUGGUCUGAGAGGAUGAUCAGCCACACUGGAACUGAGACACGGUCCAGACUCCUACGGGAGGCAGCAGUGGGGAAUAUUGGACAAUGGGCGAAAGCCUGAUCCAGCCAUACCGCGUGGGUGAAGAAGGCCUUCGGGUUGUAAAGCCCUUUUGUUGGGAAAGAAAAGCAGCAGGUUAAUACCCCGCUGUUCUGACGGUACCCAAAGAAUAAGCACCGGCUAACUUCGUG
rnacentral:rRNA from 1 species